AGUGAACGCUGGCGGCGUGCCUAAUACAUGCAAGUCGCAGGAAGUGUCGCACGGGUGAGUAAUAUAUAGCUAAUCUGCCCCUUUCUGUAUGACAACAAUUCGAAAUGACUGCUAAUACUCCAUAGAAAGUGAUGAGACUAUAUCUUAUCAGCUAGUCGGUGGGGUAACGGCCUCCCGAGGCUAGGAUGCGUCACUGGUCUGAGAGGAUGAUCAGUCACAGUGGAAGUGAGACACGGUCCAAACUCCUACGGGAGGCAGCAGUAGGGAAUAUUGCGCAAUGGGGGAAUCCCUGACGCAGCAACGCCGCGUGGAGGAGGACACUUUUCGGAGCGUAAACUCCUUUUGUUAGGGAUGCGGUACCUAACGAAUAAGCACCGGCUAACUCCGUGCCAGCAGCCGCGGUAAUUC
rnacentral:rRNA from 1 species